UUCCAUGCAAAUGGAAAUCAAAAGAAAGCUGGAGUAGCAAUACUCAUACCAGAUAAAAUAGACUUUAAAAUAAAGAAUGUUACAAGAGACAAGGAAGGACACUACAUAAUGAUCAAGGGAUCAAUCCAAGAAGAAGAUAUGACAAUUAUAAAUAUAUAUGCACCCUUUUAUAGCUGCUAACAGCUAUAAAAGAGGAAAUCGACAGUAACACAAUAAUAGUGGGGGACUUUAACACCUCACUUACACCAAUGGACAGAUCAUCCAAAAUGAAAAUAAAUAAGGAAACAGAAGCUUUAAAUGACACAAUAAACCAGAUAGAUUUAAUUGAUAUUUUUAGGACAUUCCAUCUAGAAACAGAUUACACUUUCUUCUCAAGUGCACACAGAACAUUCUCCAGGAUAGAUCACAUCUUGGGUCACAAAUCAAGCCACAGUAAAUUUAAGAAAAUUGAAAUCACAUCAAGCAUCUUUUCUGACCACAACGCUAUGGGAUUAGAAAUGAAUUAUAGGGAAAAAAAAGUAAAAAACACAGACACAUGGAGGCUAAACAAUACGUUACUAAAUAACAAAGAGAUCACUGAGGAAAUCAAAAAAUACCUAGAGACAAAUGACAAUAAAAACAUGGCGAUCCAAACAAAACAUAUGGGAUGCAGCAAAAGCAGUUCUAAGAGGGAAGUUUAUAGCUAUACAAGCCUACCUCAAGAAACAAGAAAAAUCUCAAAUAAACAAUCUAACCUUACACCUAAAGAAACUAGAGAAAGAAGAACAAACAAGACCCAAAGUUAGCAGAAGGAAAGAAAUCAUAAAGAUUAGAGCAGAAAUAAAUGAAAUAGAACUAAAGAAAACAAAAGCAAAGAUCAAUAAAACUAAAAAAAAAAAAAAGGUUAAAUGAGGUCAUAAGUGAGAGGCCCUAACAAUAAGAUUGUUCCUUGUAGGAAGAGGAGGAGAUACCAGGAGUGCAUGUGUACAAAGAAAGCCCACGCAAGGACACAGUGAUGAGAAGGAAGCCGAGGAGAGAGACCUCAGGAGAAACGAAACCUGCCAACACCUUGAUCUUGGACUUCCAGCCUGCAGAAUUGACCCACUGUUGGCGCAUGCUUUCUCAGUUGUGUUGAGAGACUUCCCUGCUGGUAUUUCAGAGAUACAGAUGAAGCCAGACAGAUCAAGCUGCUUCUCAUUCUUAUCCCAAGAAGCUGGCUGACUGCAGGGCCUCCGGACUCUGUCAGGGAAGACACUCCUUCCCAGAAGCUCCCAGCAACUCUCAUUUAUGCGUAGCCACAAGGCAUGAUGGGAAAUGAGUAUGUGGCAUUUUGAGCCUCCAUCAUGGAAACAGGCUCCACCCAGAGGAAGCAGCGGGUAGAUCUGGCUAUUGGAUGAUUCCAGCAUCAUCAGUGGAUACUCAAGGAAGGCAUGUUGAAUGGAUAUCUGAGCUAGAAGCUGCAAGCAACACAAGGGUAGAGAUCGUGGCUAUCGUGUUCAUCCAGUUACCAGCACAGUCCUCAGAACAGAGUCUAUGCUCCAUAGAACACAUAUGGAAUGAAUAUGAAUAAACCCAGAGGAAAAACCAUCUUAACAGGGACUAAGGAACAUCAUGCACAUUGGUAACACUGUGGAGCAGAUGCGAUAACUCUAUCAAAAUAAAAGGGAAGCUACUGGAGAUGUAUCCAUAAAAAUAAGAGAUUAAAUCAAGAAUGAGGAAGCUAUGGAAUCCAGGAAAAAAAGGAAAUGUAAAAAGAACUACAUUGAGAUAAUAUUUUCCCCUGCUUAUCAGAUUGUCAAAGAUUAAAAAGGACGUGCUUCUAGAUGCCGAUUAGCUUUAUGCAGAAACUAC